UACGUAGAGGGCAAGCGUUGUCCGGAUUUAUUGGGCGUAAAGAGCGUGUAGGCGGCUGGGUAGGUCCGUUGUGAAAACUCGAGGCUCAACCUCGAGACGCCGAUGGAAACCCUCCAGCUAGAGUCCGGAAGAGGAGAGUGGAAUUCCUGGUGUAGCGGUGAAAUGCGCAGAUAUCAGGAAGAACACCCGUGGCUAAGGCGGCUCUCUAGUACGGUACUGACGCUGAGACGCGAAAGCGUGGGGAGCGAACAGG
rnacentral:rRNA from 1 species